rnacentral:rRNA from 1 species
GUGGGGAAUCUUGCGCAAUGGGCGAAAGCCUGACGCAGCCAUGCCGCGUGAAUGAUGAAGGUCUUAGGAUUGUAAAAUUCUUUCACCGGGGACGAUAAUGACGGUACCCGGAGAAGAAGCCCCGGCUAACUUCGUGCCAGCAGCCGCGGUAAUACGGAGGGUGCGAGCGUUGUCCGGAUUUAUUGGGUUUAAAGGGUGCGUAGGCUGGAAGGUCAGUCAGCGGUGAAAAGCUGUCGCUUAACGAUAGUCUUGCCGCAGAUACUUCCUUUCUUGGAUGAGGAGGAGGCCACUGGAACGGAUGGUGUAGCGGUGAAAUGCAUAGAUAUCAUCCAGAACACCGAUUGCGAAGGCAGGUGGCUGUACCUUAAUCGACGCUGAUGCACGAAAGCAUGGGGAGCAAACAGGAUUAGAAACCCUAGUAGUCC